rnacentral:rRNA from 1 species
UAUUCCGGUUGAUCCCGCCGGCGGCUACCGCUAUAGGAAUUCGAUUAAGACAUGCGAGUCGAGAGUCGUAAUGGACUCGGCGGACUGCUCAGUAACACGUGGAUAACGUGCCCUUAAGUGGAGGAUAAUCUCGGGAAAUUGAGGAUAAUACUCCAUAGACUACGAAAUCUGGAAUGAUUCAUAGUUGAAAGUUCCGGCGCUUAAGGAUCGGUCUGCGGCCUAUCAGGUUGUAGUGGGUGUAACGUACCUACUAGCCUAUGACGGGUAUGGGCCUUGAGAGAGGGAGCCCAGAGUUGGAUUCUGAGACACGAAUCCAGGCCCUACGGGGCGCAGCAGUCGCGAAAACUUCACAAUGGGGGCAACCCCGAUGAGGGAAUUCCUAGUGCUAGCACAAUUGUGUUAGCUUUUCUCUAGCGUAGAUAACUGGAGGAAUAAGGGCUGGGAAAGACGGGUGCCAGCAGCCGCGGUAA